CCUACGUGCGUCAGCAGAGGGGAAUAUUGCGCAAUGGGCGAAAGCCUGACGCAGCGACGCCGCGUGAGGGAUGAAGGUCUUCGGAUCGUAAACCUCUGUCAGCAGGGAAGAACGGUCACUGUGCUAAUCAGCAGUGAAUUGACGGUACCUGCAAAGGAAGCACCGGCUAACUCCGUGCCAGCAGCCGCGGUAAUACGGAGGGUGCGAGCGUUAAUCGGAAUUACUGGGCGUAAAGCGCUCGUAGGCGGUAUGUCAAGUCAAGGGUGAAAUCCCCGCGCUCAACGUGGGAACUGCCUUUGAAACUGGCAAACUGGAGUGUGUGAGAGGAUAGUGGAAUUCCAGGUGUAGGAGUGAAAUCCGUAGAUAUCUGGAGGAACAUCAGUGGCGAAGGCGACUAUCUGGCACAUAACUGACGCUGAGGAGCGAAAGCGUGGGUAGCAAACAGGAUUAGAUACCCCAGUAGUC
rnacentral:rRNA from 1 species